AUUGAACGCUGGCGGCAGGCUUAACACAUGCAAGUCGAACGAGUGGCGGACGGGUGAGUAAUGCGUGGGAAACUGGCCGAUGGAGGGGGAUAACUACUGGAAACGGUAGCUAAUACCGCAUACCAUCGGAUGAGCCCAGUGGGGAUUAGCUAGUAGGUGGGGUAACGGCUCACCUAGGCGACGAUCCCUAGCUGGUCUGAGAGGAUGACCAGCCACACUGGAACUGAGACACGGCCCAGACUCCUACGGGAGGCAGCAGUGGGGAAUAUUGCACAAUGGGCGCAAGCCUGAUGCAGCCAUGCCGCGUGUAUGAAGAAGGCCUUCGGGUUGUAAAGUACUUUCAGCGGGGAGGCGUUACCCGCAGAAGAAGCACCGGCUAACUCCGUGCCAGCAGCCGCGGUAAUAC
rnacentral:rRNA from 1 species